rnacentral:lncRNA from 1 species
CCAGGAAGUUGUGGGGGCAGCAGCAGACGUGCGAGGUGAUUAAUAACAACAUAGAUAACUUCUGCUGAGGAAUUUCACAAGCUGAGCUUUAACAGGCAUUAACUCACUUAAUCCUCGCACCAAGUCUCAGAGAUUACAAAUUCAAAUGCCUAACUGGUCCAGGAAAACAACUGGAAAUGAGGGGAGAGAGCUGAGUGGAGAAUGUCAUGCACUGGUGGGCUUGUAUCUAUCCAAGAACAGAAGCCUUCCUGAGCUCUAGCUGACUGAUGCCAGAAAGAAGCUUCACUGAUGCAUUACAUUCGUUGCUAUGCAAUGUCAAGGAAUACUAUCAUUAUGAUUAGUACCAUCUGCAACAAAUGAGAGGAAGCAACACACAACAGAGCUGAAGAUUCAGAGCCUCUCUCCCAGCUGACUUGGGUGUGUACUAGUACACUGCCUCUAGAUUUUUACAACCGCAUGCAUACAAUCCACAGGGCAAACCACUUCAAUAGAACAUGGCUGGCAGCCAUAUGGUCACAUAUGAAUCCAACAGUUAAUUUAGCAAAGAAAACUGCUUGUAACAAGUUUUGAAUAUGUUAUCCCAGGUAGUACUUUGUUGACAAAUGAGAUGAUUGCCCAGAAAAUGAUAGUAACAUUUGUAAAAAGGGUUUGGAACCAAUUGAGAGAUGCAGCCAAGAAUCAAGCACUUGAAGAUCAAAGUGAUGGCUUUGUAACUGACAAAGCCUGGGUUGGAGAACACAGCUUAGAUUCAGAGGGAAGACCACAUGAAGACAUAGGGAAAGAUAGCCAUCUAAGGAGAGAGGCUCAGAAGAAACUAACCUUGCUGAAACCUCGAUCUUGGACUUCUA